rnacentral:lncRNA from 1 species
UCCACUUGAGUAGAACUCUAUAAAUGCCAUCACGCUACCUUUGUUUAUCCUAGUAAGUGUUAGUUUGGAAGUACUGCACAUACUUCUAUUGGCUUUUAAAUUAAACAUGGUGCUUAGGUUAAACAGCCUCCCUUAAUAUGAUUAGACAUGGAGUCUAGUUUGGUUAUUGAGCUAAAAGCUGCUUGUGUAGACAUUGGUAUAUUCUGUCAGACUAACCCCUGCAGAAAAACUUUCAAUAUCGAUUUGCGAAGUCCUGAGAUAAACUCACAUCGGAGAUGAAGAGAGAGACACAUGAAGUGUAACAAUUUGCACAAGAAGGACAUAGCUCAUAGAGAGAUGAUCCAUGGAAGGAGACAAAGUACACAAACACGAUGCACAACCGC